rnacentral:lncRNA from 1 species
UAAAUCAAAUUACAUACCAAACCUGAAGCGGGGUUUGGCCUCCGCUGUGGACAGAAAAGGGCUGAAAGUGCGGAGAUGCAAUCCCACUUCCGCUAGGGAGCGCUCAAGUUUCGGUUCCACUCUCCGUCCACGUCUCCACUGCAGGAACUUUUCUGUGUCUUACUCUAGGAAUCCCGGAGGACCGAAUGCUCGAUGAUUGAUUCUUUAGGGGUGGGGCUUCCGGCUCAAUCUCUAUGCCACUUCCUCGCGGCAGUCUAGAAUGACCUUGGAAAGUCAGAGGGUUUGCUGAGGGCAAUUCUUUGGGCCAGGUUUCCGGUUAGUGACCAACGGCCUUUCCUUAACGGCCUUAUAUUCUAGUUUGGAAACAGAAAGAUUCUAUCUGAAACGGCGAAAACUUCCAAAAGAAAUUUCGGUGCCCGAAGAAAGGGCUGUGUCUCUCGGGAGGACCACUUUGCGGCGGGAGAGGAGAAGGAUAUUGAUAAGCUGGAGAGCGUCCAGAAGAGAGGAGACAGAAUAGUGAGAUCACUAGAGACCAUGUCCAAAAAGGAAUGGUUGAAGGAACUGGGAGUAAAUUGGGAGAAGACGAGUCUUAAGUCGAGUAAGGGUGAGAGAAGACAAGAUUCCCCAUGCCCAAGUUUUUGAAGAUUCUUUUGGAAAAAUGAAGAAUCUGCCUUUGAUUCCAGGUCAGACAUUUUCUGAAGAUGGAAUUGUUAUAAAUAUUCCUAAAUGGUGAUAAUUAUGGAGAAGUCUGUGGACCAUUAAAGAGAGCCAAGAAUCCAUGUAGGAAAGAGCCUAAAGAAAUUCCUUUCUCAAAAAAGUUUUAGAAAAAGAUUAUUUAUGUGAUAUAUAGGUUAAAAUUUUAAAUACUACUCAUAUCUUUUUUGGACAACAGAUAAUGCAUACUAGGGAGGAAUAAUAUGUCAUGAAUGUGGAAAAGGAUUUAGCUAAAUUUCAAACCUAAACAUCAGAAAAUCAAACAGGAGGGAAAUAAUUUAUGAGCAGUGAAUGUGAAUGAAACCUGUAGGUUUAAUUUACACAUAGGCAAAUU